rnacentral:rRNA from 1 species
GACGAACGCUGGCGGCGUGCUUAACACAUGCAAGUCGAACGGAAAGGCCCUGCUUUUGUGGGGUGCUCGAGUGGCGAACGGGUGAGUAACACGUGAGUAACCUGCCCUUGACUUUGGGAUAACUUCAGGAAACUGGGGCUAAUACCGGAUAGGAGCUCCUGCUGCAUGGUGGGGGUUGGAAAGUUUCGGCGGUUGGGGAUGGACUCGCGGCUUAUCAGCUUGUUGGUGGGGUAGUGGCUUACCAAGGCUUUGACGGGUAGCCGGCCUGAGAGGGUGAACGGCCACAUUGGGACUGAGAUAAGGCCCAGACUCCUACGGGAGGCAGCAGUGGGGAAUAAUGCACAAUGGGCGGAAGCCUGAUGCAGCAACGACGAGUGCGGGAUGACGGCCUUAGGGUUGUAAACCGCUUUCGCCUGUGACGAAGCGUGAGUGACGGUAAUGGGUAAAGAAGCACCGGCUAACUACGUG